rnacentral:tRNA from 1 species
GGGGUUGUGGCUCAGUGUUAGAACACAUGCCUAGCAUGUGUGAGGCCCUGGGAUCGAUUCCCAGCACCACA